rnacentral:rRNA from 1 species
GAUGAACGCUGGCGGCGUGCCUAAUACAUGCAAGUCGAGCGAACUGAUUAGAAGCUUGCUUCUAUGACGUUAGCGGCGGACGGGUGAGUAACACGUGGGCAACCUGCCUGUAAGACUGGGAUAACUUCGGGAAACCGAAGCUAAUACCGGAUAGGAUCUUCGCCUGCAUGGGAGAUGAUUGAAAGAUGGUUUCGGCUACCACUUACAGAUGGGCCCGCGGUGCAUUAGCUAGUUGGUGAGGUAACGGCUCACCAAGGCAACGCUGCAUAGCCGACCUGAGAGGGUGAUCGGCCACACUGGGAAUGAGACACGGCCCAGACUCCUACGGGAGGCAGCAGUAGGGAAUCUUCCGCAAUGGACGAAAGUCUGACGGAGCAACGCCGCGUGAGUGAUGAAGGCUUUCGGGUCGUAAAACUCUGUUGUUAGGGAAGAACAAGUACGAGAGUAACUGCUCGUACCUUGACGGUACCUAACCAGAAAGCCACGGCUAACUACGUGCCAGCAGCCGCGGUAACAC